rnacentral:tRNA from 1 species
GCCGGCGUAGCUCAGUGGCAGAGCAGCUGAUUCGUAAUCCGCAGGUCACGGGUUCAAGUCCCGUCGCCGGCUCCA